AUGCACGCUGGCGGCGUGCCUAAUACAUGCAAGUCGAACGCUGGAGAUCUAGCUUGCUAGAUCGAAGGAGUGGCGAACGGGUGAGUAAUACAUAAGCAACCUACCCACGAAGACUGGGAUAAUCUCUGGAAACGGGGACUAAUACCGGAUAGGUAAUCGGAAGGCAUCUUCUGGUUAUUAAAGGUUAAAAACACUGGUGGAUGGGCUUAUGGCGCAUUAGUUAGUUGGUGAGGUAACGGCCCACCAAGACGAUGAUGCGUAGCCGGCCUGAGAGGGUGAACGGCCACAUUGGGACUGAGACACGGCCCAGACUCCUACGGGAGGCAGCAGUAGGGAAUUGUCGGCAAUGGGGGCAACCCUGACCGAGCAACGCCGCGUGAGUGAAGACGGCCUUCGGGUUGUAAAGCUCUGUUGUAAGGGAAGAACGGUAGAUAGAGAAUAUCUAAGUGACGGUACCUUACCAGAAAGCCACGGCUAACUACGUG
rnacentral:rRNA from 1 species